rnacentral:rRNA from 1 species
CAGUCGCCGCGGGAAUACGUAGGUGGCAAGUGUUGUCCGGAAUUAUUGGGCGUAAAGGGCUCGCAGGCGGUUUCUUAAGUCUGAUGUGAAAGCCCCCGGCUCAACCGGGGAGGGUCAUUGGAAACUGGGAAACUUGAGUGCAGAAGAGGAGAGUGGAAUUCCACGUGUAGCGGUGAAAUGCGUAGAGAUGUGGAGGAACACCAGUGGCGAAGGCGACUCUCUGGUCUGUAACUGACGCUGAGGAGCGAAAGCGUGGGGAGCGAACAGGAUUAGAUACCCCGGUAGUCCCUGUCUCUUAUAC